rnacentral:pre_miRNA from 1 species
AGUGGGAUAGCUGGUUCAAAUGGUGGUUCCAAAAAUACAAGUUUUUAAAAGGAAUCUCCAUAUUGUUUUCCAGAUUGCUUGCACCAAUUUGUAGUUCCACCAGCAAU